CUGCGGAGCCGCUCCGUAACCGCUUUCGUUUACGUCGCACCGUGCCUUCCGAUUCUGGUGUGGUUCCCAUCGUCUUGCCUGGGUCUCUUACCGGUCUGUGGCCCGCAGCUCCUCACAGCCCCCCCUCCCCUCAGCGCGAACAUGGAUGAGCCCGUUACCGCCUCCUCUUUCGGCGUAGUGGAAACUCCCGCCAGGGGAGGGGGCCGCCGCGGGGCGGGAGCCGGAAAGUGACGGGUGGGUGCGAGAAAGGGGCAGAGACGCGUGGGUAGGGCUUGCUUGGAAAUCAGGAGACUGAGGCAAAAUACUAUCACUGAACUUCCAGAGUCAUUGUUAAGAAUUGGAAAGCUGCUUCACCAGUAGACUGAAUAACAUCACUGAAGAGAUGUAAGGAAGGAGACCAUCAUGAACUGACCAUGAAUCUCACAUUGGACACUGCUGAAAGUGCUUUACACAUCAUCUCGGGUUUUACACCAUAGCAAAAUGUGGGACAGGAAUCUGGGUGAAGGUGGAGUGUUUCUUCCUGUCUCAUUGAUGCUGGACUUGGCUGUGAUUGAUUCUCUUUGUUAAUGGACAUGAUAUGAGCAAACAUUUGAGAUGCAUUUGUGCAAUUGUUGCCUGUCAUCUGGCAUUUCUACCAACACCAUAAGAAAACUAGGCCCUAGCCAACCUUUUGGUUCCAGGAAGAUGAGAGGUAUAUUUAAGAAUUUGAAGAUCCUAUUCAACCAAAUAUAGAUCUGACAACUUCUGCCAAUCUGCAGUUAGAAGAACAAGAAUGCGGGAUUAUAAAAGAAGUGGAGCAAAGGAUUAUUGGGAGGCCUAAAAUACCACGGCCCUGAAACCACUCUGCUCUACCAGAGUGUCACAUACCAUUCAGCUAGGAUACAGCACUCUGUCAGUAGAAGUCUGUUUUAUAACUGAAGCCAGGAACCCAGAAUUCAAUCCUAAUCUUCUACGUGGGUAGCAGGGACUUAAGCAUUUGAGACAUCUGCUGCCUCCCAGGCCUGAGAAGACAGUGGAAGAUGGCACAAGUGCUUGGUCCCCUGCACCUAUUUGGAAGACCUGAAGAAGCUCCUGGCUCCUGACUUCGCAUUGGCCCACCUCUGGCCAUUAGGGCCAUUUGUAGAGUGAACCAGUGAAUAGAAGACCAUUCUCCUUCUCUGUAACUCUGCCUCUCAAAAAAAUAAGUAAAUAACUAAAAAUGCCAAGUGGUGUCAGUAUCUAGGUAUCCACUGAAUAGAGUGUGAACUGAAUAUAGUAUGAAAGUAAGCUUAUGAUAUCCCUGAGGAAGAAAAAAUGUAAACAAAUCAGUAGCUAUAAAUGUGAUACAUGAUAAAGCAGAGACCCAGAGUCCAAUAUAUUCUUGAAAUUCGUAGGUGUGUGGGUUGUUGUCUUCUUUGUUCAAUUUUAUGCUUUAUAAAUAAGAAUAAAUUAAUAAUGCAUGUUUGCUAUCUGCAUAAAGAUUUAUAACUAUGCAUGGAUAUAGAUACAUUUAAUUUAGAGUAUAUGAAGAUGAUUUAUUAAUGAUUCUUGGUUGUAAAUCCUUGGAAGAACUCUAAUUACUCUGUACUUAUUUCUUAAUUAGGCAAUAUGAAACCCCCAUAAUAGCUACUAGCUGUGAAUAAGAGUGCUGUAAAAGUUACUCAAGUAAUUGCCUCUCAAACUUGAACUCUACUUAAAGUGACAAGUCAUAAGCGUUAAAUAAAAAAUGAAAAAACAGAAGUAUCUCACUGUCAUAUUAAAAAUCAUUCAGCUUUCUAGUUCCUGAGCACAGUUGAAUAGAGCCAUCUAUUUAGAAAUAUAGUGUCCACCCUGGAUGAUCCCAACAAGGCAUUUAUUUAUGACCAAUUUUAUUUUGUAAUUGAAUCAUUUAAGAAACUAUGUAGAGCAGGGAGCCACUAUACAUUGAGGUGCUGGUAACAAAGACCCAGCUAGGCUAAACCGAGUAGAGGUCAUAUUCUCUGAUGUUAACAAAAGGCUAAAUGAAUGGUGUCUUGGGCUUAAAUGAAAGCUUCAUGGUUGUUAGGAACCCAGUCUCCUAUGCUUCUUUAGAGGAUGGCUUUACAUCUUCAAGUACAUAUGAUGUCAUCUAGAAUCCCUUUCAUUUGACUAUGUCUAAGGCAGAAAGAAGGGAGGAAUAAAUGAUAAAAGAGCAUUUUCCUCCUGUUGAGUCAGUGUCCUUUAAACUCCAGAAAGCCAGCAGUGAAUCCUUAUUUUACUGAUCUUCUAUUAUAGUGAAGGAGGGUGAGAAAUACAGUCAUUGAGAGAGGAAUAUCAUCACCUGGAAUAUGUGUGAAUUCAGUUAACGAGAAAAACUUGCAAGAAAGGCCAAAACAUUUAUUGGGUUCUGUCACAGAGGUUCAAAAUGAUGUCAAAUAUUUCAGAGCCAUAAACUAUUUUUGGAUACCUAAUAUGUGCUAUCUAUCUAAUACAGACUGGGGUACAAAGACAAAUAUGGUAUUGGGCCAGUUCCGGGAGAGCUGACUCUUCAGUGGAGGAUACAAGUUUCAAAUAGCUCAAGUUAUAUGGUAAUAAUGAGAGGGUUGUCUGGGCAGUUGUGGUGGUUGUGAUAGUGGUGGUUGUGGGAAACUCAGCAGUGGAAAACUCGGUUUGACCCAGAUGCCUGGGAUUCCUGGAAGAGCUAUUCUGUUCCCAGACCCUAACCUUGGGUUGGAUGGGUGACAUUACAGGUUUGGGGAACAUGACAAAAUGAAGGAUGGGGAAAAUAUUAUUGUUUCAUGGGAAAUUCAAGCAGUUAGGGAUCAUUAAAAGGUAAAAUUGAAGGUAGAAAUAAAUAAGUAAAUAAGGAGUCAGGUUAUAGAUGAGUAAUUGUGUUAACUAGUAACUAUGGAAAGCUGGAAAUGGGUUUACAUAUGGAAACUCCAUAGUUAAAUUGGAUUUUGGAUAUGUUAUUCUGGCUAUAUGGAGGAGGAUUCAAAAGAGGGCAAAAUUGAGGUAAGAGCCAUUAGAAUGCUAUUUCAAGGUAGUCAAGAUAAGAAAUAGAUGAAGCCUGAUUAUGCAGUAGUAGUAGGGAGGGGAAAACAGAUUAUAGAACCACGUAGGAGGAAUAAUUAGUUAGUAAUGAAAAGAUGUGGGCAGAAAGAGGGAAAAGAAUUUAGAAUGACUACAAGAUUCAUGCUUAUAACUAAGUAGAUGGUGGCAUCAUUAAUUGAAAUUGUAAAUGUAAGAGUAGGAGGACCAGGUGAGGGUGGGGUUGGAAG